rnacentral:rRNA from 1 species
UACGUAGGGGGCAAGCGUUGUCCGGAUUUAUUGGGCGUAAAGAGCGUGUAGGCGGCCAUACAGGACAGCUGUGAAAACUCGAGGCUCAACCUCGAGACGUCGGUUGAAACCGUAUGGCUAGAGUCCGGAAGAGGAGAGUGGAAUUCCCGGUGUAGCGGUGAAAUGCGCAGAUAUCGGGAAGAACACCCGUGGCGAAGGCGGCUCUCUGGGACGGUACUGACGCUGAGACGCGAAAGCGUGGGGAGCGAACAGG